AUUGAACGCUGGCGGCAGGCCUAACACAUGCAAGUCGAACGAGUGGCGGACGGGUGAGUAAUGUAUGGGAAACUGCCUGGUGGAGGGGGAUAACUACUGGAAACGGUAGCUAAUACCGCAUACCAUACGAGCUGCCCAAAUGGGAUUAGCUAGUAGGUGGGGUAAAGGCCCACCAAGGCGACGAUCACUAGCGGGUCUGAGAGGAUGACCAGCCACACUGGAACUGAGACACGGUCCAGACUCCUACGGGAGGCAGCAGUGGGGAAUUUUGCACAAUGGGCGCAAGCCUGAUGCAGCUAUGCCGCGUGUAUGAAGAAGGCCUUCGGGUUGUAAAGUACUUUCAGCGGGGAGGCGUUACCCGCAGAAUAAGCACCGGCUAACUCCGUGCCAGCAGCCGCGGUAAUUC
rnacentral:rRNA from 1 species